CUACGGGACGCUGCAGUGAGGAAUAUUGCGCAAUGGGGGAAACCCUGACGCAGCGACGCCGCGUGAGUGAGGAAGGCCUUCGGGUCGUAAAGCUCUGUCAAGAGGAAAGAAGUGCAUAGUAGUUAAUACCUGCUAUGUUUGACGGUACCUCUAAAGGAAGCACCGGCUAACUCCGUGCCAGCAGCCGCGGUAAUACGGAGGGUGCAAGCGUUGUUCGGAAUCACUGGGCGUAAAGGGCGCGCAGGCGGCCUGGUAAGUCAGAUGUGAAAGCCCACGGCUUAACCGUGGAAGUGCAUUUGAAACUGUCAGGCUUGAGUACCAGAGGGGAAAGUGGAAUUCCCGGUGUAGAGGUGAAAUUCGUAGAUAUCGGGAGGAAUACCGGUGGCGAAGGCGACUUUCUGGCUGAGUACUGACGCUGAGGCGCGAAAGCGUGGGGAGCAAACAGGAUUAGAUACCCGCGUAGUC
rnacentral:rRNA from 1 species